rnacentral:rRNA from 1 species
AGAGUUUGAUCAUGGCUCAGAUUGAACGCUGGCGGCAUGCGUAACACAUGCAAGUCGAACGGUGUUUGGUGCUUGCACCAGACAUAGUGGCGGACGGGUGAGUAAUGCGUAGGAAUCUGUCUUAGAGAGGGGGACAACCCGAGGAAACUUGGGCUAAAACCGCAUAUUCUCGAGAGAGGAAAGCAGGGGACCGGAAACGGCCUUGUGCUCUAAGGUGAGCCUACGUCGGAUUAGCUAGUUGGCAGGGUAAAAGCCUACCAAGGCGAUGAUCUGUAGCUGGUCCGAGAGACGGACAGCCACACUGGGACUGAGACACGGCCCAGACUCCUACGGGAGGCAGCAGUGGGGAAUAUUGGACAAUGGGGGGAACCCUGAUCCAGCGAUGCCGCGUGUGUGAAGAAGGCCUGCGGGUUGUAAAGCACUUUCAGUGGGAAAGAGAAGCGUCUUGUGAAUAAUGGGACGUGGAGACGUUACUCACAGAAGAAGCACCGGCUAACUCUGUG